CCUACGGGAGGCAGCAGUGGGGAAUAUUGGGCAAUGGGCGCAAGCCUGACCCAGCAACGCCGCGUGAAGCAAGAAGGCUUUCGGGUUGUAAACUUCUUUUCUCAGGGACGAAGCAAGUGACGGUACCUGAGGAAUAAGCCACGGCUAACUACGUGCCAGCAGCCGCGGUAAUACGUAGGUGGCAAGCGUUAUCCGGAUUUACUGGGUGUAAAGGGCGUGUAGGCGGGAAAGCAAGUCAGAUGUGAAAACCAUGGGCUCAACCUGUGGCCUGCAUUUGAAACUGUUUUUCUUGAGUACUGGAGAGGCAGACGGAAUUCCUAGUGUAGCGGUGAAAUGCGUAGAUAUUAGGAGGAACACCAGUGGCGAAGGCAGCUCACUGGACUGCAACUGACACUGAGGCUCGAAAGUGUGGGUAUCAAACAGGAUUAGAUACCCUUGUAGUC
rnacentral:rRNA from 1 species